CCCACAUAUCCAUCACGUUAAUAUACCUGCGGACCGGCCCUGUGAGUAAUACAUCUUUGACCUGUGAUUAUGCUAACAGCUUAUUGUUUGCACACUGAACAAUCCCAUUAUGUCGACAAUCUGUUUACAUAAAGCCUUGUUGUUUGAAUUAGUGUGCGGAGAGUCGCGUCGGGCGCCAAAGAGACAAAAAAGACGAGAGCACACAUUGGUGAGCACGGCAACCUGCACGUGACACGUGUGUUAGUGUGUGUGUGUGUGUGUGUUGUGUGUAGUGUGUGUGUGUUUGUGUGGGUUUGCCGAGGUAUUCAGGGGGAGUUGAGGGUUCAAUGCCAGAUAAAAGCACACAUGCUGCCUGCCUCUGCGGAUCAUCCAAACAAACCAAUACACUGCGUCUAUUAAAGAAGGGCUUUGGGGAACAUAAAAUAAUCCUGCAUGAACUGCGUCUAAACGCUUCCAAGAGGGGCUUUGUCUCAGUGCGCGGUAAGGGAGUCUCAAAGCUCAGAGGAAAUCAACAGUCGACUUGGCAAUGUUUAUGCUUACACUAUAAAGUGUGUCUUCUCUUUGACUGACAUGUUCAUCCCCCCGCCCCUCCUCCUCCAGCCCACACCAACCAAUCAGCAUUAGCUAAAUGCUACAGUGACAGGCUCCCUGCUUACCAUCUACCUUCUGCGUCUUCUGUAAAAGUUGUAUGUUUGCAUGCUGACCAGAAAUGGACUGAGCGCAUUAAAACUAGGGUUAAAACUAAGGGUGGAAAGUAUGCACUAGCUCUGUUGCUUAUUAUUAAUGUUUCAGUCAUAUCAUCGUCAGUAUGGAUAUUGUUUUGGGCUUUUUGACCUAUAAACUGUUUUCUUACAAAGCAAUUCCAAGAGAUGAGAUUAUUACAUUAAGAGAGUCAAAUGGAAAAUGGUAAAUCGAGUCAAACAAAGAGAUUGAUCCAACCCGCAAAAAACACUACAGAGACCUGCACGGGUUGUGUGUUAGAUCCCAGCCCAGAGCCAAACAGCUGCAAGUGAGCGGCGAUAAAAAGGAAUCAUCGGUAGAAGGCCAAAAGGUAUUUAACCAGGAAGACUGAACAUCUGCUCCAGCUUAGGACUCAUUAACACCCAGACAGGAGGUCACACCGACCCCGGAGGACCAGAGGUCAGACAAACUGUUUGAA
ensembl:lncRNA